rnacentral:rRNA from 1 species
CUACGGGCGGCAGCAGUCACGAAUCUUCCACAAUGGCCGAAAGGCUGAUGGAGCAAUGCCGCGUGCAGGAAGACGCCCUUCGGGGUGUAAACUGCUUUUAUAAAGGACGAAACAAUGACGGUACUUUAUGAAUAAGGGGCUGCUAACCUCGUGCCAGCAGCAGCGGUAAUACGAGGGCCCCAAGCGUUAUCCGGAUUUAUUGGGCGUAAAGGGUCCGUAGGCUGUUUAGCGCAUCUUCUGUCAAAUUUCCCGGCUCAACCGGGAAGCUGCGGGAGAGAUGGCUAGACUAGAGGUCGGGAGAGGCAAGCGGAAUUGCUGGUGUAGGGGUUAAAUCCGUUAAUAUCAGCAGGAACACCAAAUGCGAAGGCAGCUUGCUGGAACGAACCUGACGCUAAGGGACGAAAGCGUGGGUAGCGAAUGGGAUUAGAUACCCCGGUAGUC